GACGAACGCUGGCGGCGUGCUUAACACAUGCAAGUCGAACGGAAAGGCCCUGCUUUUGUGGGGUGCUCGAGUGGCGAACGGGUGAGUAACACGUGAGUAACCUGCCCUUGACUUUGGGAUAACUUCAGGAAACUGGGGCUAAUACCGGAUAGGAGCUCCUGCUGCAUGGUGGGGGUUGGAAAGUUUCGGCGGUUGGGGAUGGACUCGCGGCUUAUCAGCUUGUUGGUUGGGUAGUGGCUUACCAAGGCUUUGACGGGUAGCCGGCCUGAGAGGGUGACCGGCCACAUUGGGACUGAGAUACGGCCCAGACUCCUACGGGAGGCAGCAGUGGGGAAUAUUGCACAAUGGGCGGAAGCCUGAUGCAGCAACGCCGCGUGCGGGAUGACGGCCUUCGGGUUGUAAACCGCUUUCGCCUGUGACGAAGCGUGAGUGACGGUAAUGGGUAAAGAAGCACCGACUAACUACGUG
rnacentral:rRNA from 1 species